GCGAAGCUCAACACCAUCCAGCUGGGACCAGCUUCGUGGCGACAGAAAUGGCGUGCGGCUUCCGCAGGUCUAUCGCCUGUCAGCUUUCAAGAGUGUUGGAUCUUCCUCCAGAAUACUUGAUCAAGUCAAUAUCUGCAGUUCCAAUUUCCAGAAAAGAAGAAGUAGCUGACUUUCAGCUUUCUGUGGAUUCUCUAUUGGAAAACAACAAUGACCAUUCAAGACCAGAUAUUCAACUUCAAACCGUGAGACUGGCAGAGAAGCUGAAAUGUGACACAGUGGUGAGUGAAAUCAGCACUGGUCCAGGGACUGUAAAUUUCAAAAUAAACAGAGAACUAUUAACAAAGACAGUACUACAAGAAGUGAUUGAAGAUGGCUCAAAAUAUGGAUUAAAAAGUGAACUUUUUUCUGGCCUUCCCCAGAAGAAGAUCGUGGUUGAGUUCAGUUCACCUAAUGUUGCCAAAAAAUUUCAUGUUGGACAUUUGCGUUCUACCAUCAUAGGAAAUUUUAUAGCAAAUCUCAAAGAAGCUUUAGGACAUCAAGUAACAAGAAUAAAUUAUCUUGGGGAUUGGGGCAUGCAGUUUGGUCUUUUGGGAACUGGCUUCCAGCUGUUUGGCUAUGAAGAAAAACUCCAGUCCAAUCCUUUACAGCAUCUCUUUGAAGUUUAUGUACAAGUUAAUAAAGAAGCAGCAGACGAUAAAAGUGUAGCAAAAUCAGCACAUGAGUUCUUCCAGCGAUUGGAACUGGGCGACACGCAAGCACUUGCACUCUGGCAGAAAUUUCGGGACUUGAGCAUAGAAGAGUACAUUCGGAUUUACAAGCGUCUAGGAGUACACUUUGAUGAAUAUUCAGGAGAAUCAUUUUAUCGUGAAAAGUCUCAAGAAGUCUUAAAGUUGCUGGACAGUAAAGGACUCCUACUGAAAACAAUAAAAGGCACAGCUGUAGUGGAUCUGUCAGGAAGUGGUGACCCCUCCUCGAUUUGUACCGUAAUGCGAAGCGAUGGGACGUCUCUCUAUGCAACCAGAGAUCUUGCAGCUGCUAUAGAUCGAAUGGACAAGUAUAAUUUUGAUAAAAUGAUUUAUGUGACAGAUAAAGGGCAAAAAAAGCAUUUUCAGCAAGUGUUCCAAAUGCUGCAGAUCAUGGGAUAUGACUGGGCAGAAAGGUGCCAGCACGUGCCCUUUGGGGUAGUGCAGGGAAUGAAGACUCGAAGAGGAGAUGUUACUUUUCUGGAAGAUGUUCUAAAUGAGAUUCGAUUGAGGAUGCUACAGAACAUGGCUUCUGCUAAGACCACCAGAGAGCUGGAGAACCCCCAGGAGACAGCAGAGAGGGUGGGGCUCGCAGCCCUCAUCAUUCAGGACUUCAGAGGUUUCCUGUUAUCUGACUAUCAGUUCAGCUGGGAUCGUGUUUUCCAGAGUCGCGGGGACACAGGGGUCUUCCUGCAGUACACACACGCCCGCCUCCACAGUUUGGAAGAGACUUUUGGAUGUGGUUAUCUAAAUGACUUCAACACUGCUUGCUUACAAGAGCCACAGUCUGUUUCCAUUCUCCAGCAUCUUCUCAGGUUCGAUGAGGUGCUUUAUAGGUCAGCCCAAGACCUUCAACCCAGGCAUAUUGUCAGUUACCUUCUAACUCUAAGUCAUCUUGCAGCGGUGGCACACAAAACACUACACAUAAAAAACAGUCCUCCUGAAGUGGCCGGGGCCAGACUUCAUCUUUUCAGAGCUGUCCGCUCAGUCCUAGCCAACGGAAUGACACUUCUUGGAAUAACACCUUUGCUGCGUGUGGGAUCUUCAGUUGAGACAUGUGAACCCAUAGUUGCAGCAUGCAUGCAGGAUCUAGUUCCCCAACCAGGGAUCGAACCUGGGCCCCUUGCAUUGUGAGCAUGGAGUCUUACCCACUGGACCCCCAGGAGCACAGGCAUAGGAUUUGUUGAGCAUAAGGAUGGAUCAGAACUACAAGUGAAAGUUCACACAAAUCAGAAAGGAAGCCCGGAGGUAUUACUCUCCUUGACAAUAACAUCACCCUAAGGGGAAAAAGGCGUAUCUAUAUGGCAGAGGCUAUGAAUCAUGCUCCAUUCUUUUCCGUGUGACUGUGUGGAGUGAUCAGGACUCUGGAAAGUUCCCGUUUAGCUACAGUGAGCACUUAGCUUCUUACCACGACGCCUGUGGCCUGGGCUGGUCUCCACUGUACGAGGACGACUCCUCCACACAGCAUAAAAACUGAAAUCCACUGUAACCUGCUGAGCGUCCUGUUUAACAUUAGAACGGUACAUAGAGCAGUACAAGGAAUCUUCAACUGGUACGUCACCUACCAACAAACAAUGAACUCAUCAGCUCGGUUUACAUUAGACUCUGACACAAAUGUAUUAUUUCUGAUAUGAACACAGCUGUAGAGAAAAAUAUUCAAUAGUUUGAUAAAGGGUUAGUAAAACAUCUUUUCACCGUGAAAACAUUUUUUAAGAUUUUGCGCCUGCCAUUUUCAUCUACUUCACCUACCUGGUAUACUGCUGCAUCCAGAUUGCUGAGAGCCAGGAAAGCCAUGUUGUUCUGCACAGCAUACACUAAGGAAGGCACGCUCAACUUCAUCAGUUCCUUGGGGCUCCCCAAGACAUUUUCUCUUAAAGAUGCCUUGAAUCUACCCAGAUUACCAGUUUCUCUUUGAAAACAAAAAGGGGAAAUGAGAAGGGAUGAGGAAGAAAAUGAAAGAUCAUCCUUUCUAUUAGAUACUGUCACACAUAGGAUAGCUACAUUGUGUUACGUUCAUUGAUACUUAUUUCUAGAAUUUUUAACUGAUUUUAGAUUUAUUAAAAGAAGCAAACCAGCAAUGCAUCACCAUAAAAGAAAAACAACUACAAUCUUCAUCUGGGAAAAUAUGACAAUUAGGUUUACCACCCUCAUCCUCUGGUCAAAGUUUCAGGGGCUUUUGAGUAUAUUAAACAAUGAGAGUACCAGGAACCCAGAACUGCCGAUAUUACCUAUAAAAAAUUAAUGUAAUCCCUGCCACUUUAACUGCCAUUGCAUCAAGUUCACCCAGAUUAUUUUUUAGAUUAAUCAGGUUGCAUAUGUAUUUUUUAAUUUUUAAAAUUACAAUAGAUUUUAAUUGCAAACAAAAGAAAAAAGCGUUAGUAGUUAAUAGAAGUUACUUGGGAUAGGAAUUGAGUGAUGCAGGUCAAUAUUAUUUGUAAAUUAAUUCCGUGUUAGUGCAAUAUGGCAGACAAUAAAUCUUUAAAUAAGCAUAUUCUCAUAAAAUUCAAGUAUGUAUCUGUAUAAUUUUGCAGGAAAUCUGAAUAAUUUACUAAUAUCAGUAAGGUAAACUGUACCUGGAACAUACAUAAAGCUUACUACUUGAGUGCAUAUUGAUUGAUGCAUGCUCUUAAGUAUUCUUAUUGUUCCUCAGGAGGAACUAGCUAAUCUGGCUCAUAUUUCCCCCUGUUGUAAAUCAGCUCACUUAUUUCCUGAAAAUACAAAUCAAAGAACACUUUUAUAAGCAUUAACACCAAAAAAAAGUGCUACAUCAAAAGGCUCCUAACUGCCCCUCACAAGAUCCUUAAAAGGACCAUAAUACUUCGUUGGGAAGAUGGAGCUAUUUCAACUCACAAUGAGCCUCUAUAUUUUGGGUUAACAUUAGAAUCAACAGUCACUAAUUGGAUAUUUUCAUAUUUAAAUAGUGCAAAAAUAAUUACCCAAGUUCUGAGGAGGAGCAAAGAGUCCAUAAUGUCUAAUUAACUACCCAUGCCUUAUCCACUGUAGAACACUCCAGCCCCCAAGAAAAUAAUUAAGACAGGAAAUUUGGCCUAGGCCACAGAAACAAAAGAUGCCCUUCUUAGUUACAGACCGUACUUUGCUGCCAAAGCUACAUGCUGAAAAGUAAUGCACACAGCCUGGAGGGCGACUCUACACUCCAUGCAGAAGAGGGAGAGAAUGCCAGAAGAUUACUGGGAAAGUCUGCAUUGUAGAGUUUUCCAGAUAGCUGAAGGUUGGCCCUUUAAACAUUUACCAUUCUUUUUUUUUUUAACACAAAUCUAAGAUGUUCUAUAUAAUUCUCCACCUCUUAAAAGAGUAUAAAGAAUAAUUUCUCAAAGUUUUCCCUCAAUUAUAAAAUUGAAGAGAAAAAAGAUUAAAAAGAAUCACAGAGGUCCAACUCAAAGAACCAUUUUAACAAAGUGAUAUAAUUGAACAUUUUCUUUAUUGUCAUAAUUCUCACUAGGAAACAUGAUGGCAGAGACAUAAAUCUUACAGGCUGUGUGAAGUACAGGACACUGCUUUUACUGUAUCAUUACUUAAUGCCCUUCCAAAAUGCUGACUUCUAUACUAAUGUAUCUUCAGAGUGGCUCCCUAAAGAACUACUGAGAGGUACCUGUUUGUACCUAUCUUUCACAGUCCACCUCCUUCCAUGUCCAUUUAUCUCCCACAUAUGAUUCCUCAAGCUCUAGUUUAGUAGCCACUUAUCCCUUCCCUAAUCCCUAGCUAUGGGCAAUGCCAUCUUACCUCCACUCCUUAGAGAUACUCUAAACCCUCAAUGGUAUCAAAUGAAUUUCUGCCUAUCCAGAGAACAGAGUUGAUCUCUUUAUCACUGGCUCUCUUUGCUCUGCUAGAAUACAGGCUGCUUAAGGAUCUAACAGCUUCUUCUAUUAACCAUGGCUGUACCAAUAAUCAAGGCUGCUGAGGUCCCUUUUCUCCCUGUCACUUUUAUCUCUUCUCCCACUUUUCAGCUUUCACAUCAAAUGAAGGGCCUGUGAGACAUCACCAGCCAAUCUGAGUACUCCUUUCCUUCAACAUGAAAAACGAGUAGAGUACGGUGUGUCCAGAUUAACCUUCAGGUCUUUGGCUCUUCUGGCUAUAUCCUUUUUAUUGGAUACUUAGGAACUAUUACUUCUCCACUGCCAGGAAGACUUUACUAUCUUUUUCUGCUUCCUUCUCUAAUGUAGAUAUAAGAGAAGCCAAGGUAUACCAGAAUGCUAACUACUGGAAAGCUCAAGCUUCACCAUGGUACCUUAGAAUUAUAUCAAUAUUAUAUAAUUGUAACAAGAUAUUUUGAAAUAAGUUGCAAAAAAUAGCAGAGAAUGCUAAAAGAAAUUGUAAAAGAAAACAAAAGCUCAAAAUAAUUAAUGAUAUUAGAAAGUAAAAUAAAGAGAUUUAGGAGGUAUAAGAAAGAAUAUAGGGGAAUGUUACCACACAGAAAGUUUUAAAGGAGGAGAUAAAUUAUUUCGGUAUUAGAUUAAAUCUUGCUUAAUUUAAUAUAUUUAAUAAGAAUACAGCUCUAAAACUUACAGUUUUACUCACUAAAGUUAAAAAAAGUAAUAGCAAUAUAUCUUCCAGAAAACACUAGUAAUCAUCUAUCCUUUUGUUUUACUGUUAAGUAGACAAAGAUAAAUGAUCAAUUCUAAAUAUACUACAGCCUUGAAUAGUGUUCUCUGAAUACUAAAAAAACAUAAAAACCAAAGACCACUUUUUCUUCCAUUUUCCUGCUCUGAUAUUUUCUGGAAAUCAAAUCCCAAGCACUUUAAUGAGUACCUUUUGUUAAAAACAAAUUUAUUGAAUUUAAUUAUAUAAAUGACAUUGUGAGAUAAGAGAAAACGUGUGUGUAAUCAAAAAGCAUACACUAAUUUUUUUAGAUAUAGUCUGUCCCAUUAAAUUUACUCUUUGAUUUUUAUCACUGGAAUAGAAUCCAUGUGCAACCUGUUGUUACCUCAAGGAAUGCUGACGCUCCAUGUUGAUUGCAGAGAGAUUCCGCUGCUGCAGCCCCCCCAACUUUCCUAUCAACCAGCUGAAACCAAUUCUUUCUGAUCUAUGUUUGGUCAAAAGUAGGCCUCAUUCUUCCAGCUCCUGAUCUGAGGAGAACUACUAGGAGGCCUGAAAUCCUUGGCUAGGUUACCAAGGCACUGUGCAAAAUGGAAUAAUACAGCAGAAGUUACUCAUGAGUUUAAGGAAUCUAAAUUUCCCUUACAAAUUUCUUAUCAUCUGCAAAGUUAAUUAAAAUUAACUCGCAUAAAAAAUUUUGGGAAGCUAGGUUUAAAAACCAAUAAUGAGGUCAUUUGAGGACAAAAAUACCCAUCAUAUGAGGUACAUGACUUUUACUUCCUCCCCAUGACCCUGAACCCCUUAUAGCAUUGAGUACAAAGAGGCAGUCAAAAUGUAAACUCAGCAAGAAAAACAGAAUAGGGCUGGAUAAUCUAUGACAUAGGUAUCUGAGAGCUUCAUUCAUUAUUCUAGAAAAUACUAUGAAACAGUAAAAUAAUUUUCUCCAGUCUUAUCUGGAUAAGUAGUACAAAGAUUUAAGAUGCAUUUGGUUUAUUACGAAACACACCCAAAGUGUAUGUACAUUUACACCUCCUAGGUUUCUUUAGUCUUUACAGGCUGUGGUGGAUAGCAAACAAUAAAAAGUUGACUUUGUUCUAAGACAACAUGCAGUGUUUUCAUUUCCUUUUCACAUCACAAAUGACAGACUUAAAUCAAAAGUAUCAAUUUUAAUAGCUAUGACAGCGUUUAGUAAAGCAUACAGCUAACUAGCAAUUUUCCUGUGAAUUGUUAUAGUAAUUAUUUUAUGAAAAACUAAAAUAUUUUAAAAUGUAUUGUUUGAUGUUUCAACUGGAAUUAUAACUUAGAAAUUGGUAACUUAGUCAAAUACUUAAAAAAUAACUUACCCACAUAUAAAGCUUUUGCAACAUCCAACUGCUAAGCUGCUCCCCUCCCCAAAAAUAGGAUUUAUUAAUUUCCUUUUCAAUAUAAAAGUGGUCUGAUGUAAUUAUACAUGUACACAGCAGUGCAUAUAAAAAGAUAAUUAUUACAUCUUUGUUUUGUAGUGGCAGAAGACUGGACACACCCAAAUGCCCAUCAAUAGAAACUGGUGUAUGUGAUACAUCCAUAUAGUGGAAUACCACACAGCUCUUAAAAAGAAGGAGACAGAUUUCUAUGUACAGACAUGGAACCAUCUCUAAGAUAAAACAUUUAAGUGAAAAAAAAGUUAAAAAGCAAAGCAGUGUAAACUGUAUGCACACACAAUGCAUGUAAUCAAACUCCCCAAUCAGACUGUAUAAACCUUAAACCUUAUUUAUCAAAAUAAAGUAGCCAUUCAUUAAUUCUUCCCCACACUCCCCUUUUUUUCUUGCAGUUCUAAAUUAACUUUUGAUUGAAACAAGUAUAAUUUCAUAUUCCAAAGAUUACUAGAAAUUGUAAGUAAAAUCAACAAGGAUGGUAGAAAACUCCAAAUUAAUUACAAACAGAAACCAAAAAAAGAAAAAACAACCCUGUCAGUUUUUUUAAUGAAUACCAAAAUUACACGGAAGGAGAAAAAUAGAACUAACCCAGGUAUUCUAAAACACAGUCUCUUUACUAUAUGCUCUAAAACUAAAGGCAAAAAAAAAACUACAUACAAAUACUGAACUUUAGUUAGUAGGUUUGCUUUUUCACAGCGGUAUCUUAGAAGUUCUGAGUCUACUUAUUAUGUAUUCUAGGACUGAGCAAAAAAGUAAAUAUCUUGAGGAUAAUGGAAGUCAAACUCACCACCAUUGGAAAAGGGAAAAGUUGCAAUGAACUCUGUGGUACUGGAUCAGAAUUGCAGGUAUCAAACAAUAUAUUACUCACAGUUGUAUACACAAACACAUACAUACAGAAACAGAGAAACAGACAGGUAUGUAUGUAUACACAUACAUGUUACCUAGCUCUGGCUACUGAAAGGGCCCAGAAGUUAUGAUACCCCCAGUAGCAAUGUGCACACCUCAUGUCUAGAUUCUGGUUUCUAAAUACCAUUUUGGGAAAAAAGGAACAAGGCUUCCUAGAGAAAUGUAUGAUUUGGGGAUUGGGGCAGGGAAAGUAUAAGAUAAGCUAUGAACAUCUUGCUAUGCUAAAAAGAACCUGCUCAAAGAUUGAUGAAAAUAUGUAAGUGAAAAAGAAAAGAAAAGAAACAGGAGGAACCUUGAAGAUGAUCCCACUGUCCAAAUCUGGGACAAUUUGAGCAUCGAAAUAAAUGAUAAUAAUGGAUUCCAGCAAAUAUAAUAAAAUAAUCCAUGAAUCUACACUGAGAGGGAGAAGGACAGGUAGGUGGGAGAGAGAGGAAGAGGGAGAGAAGGGAAAGUUUCUUAGAGUAGAAUGCCAACCAAUAAAUGUAUAGGGAAUGAUGGAACUGGGAAAUUACCAUUUGGCAACAUCAAAGGACAAUAAAAAUGAUGAGAAAGAGGAUAUAUACCUAGUUUCAAAGAUUCUCUCCACAUCAUACUUAAUAGUUACAAAGAGAAAAUUGGUAACUUUAUCUGGAGAGACCUGGCAGGCACUACCUUAAUCAAGGAAUCAAAGUUAAAUCACCAGUAAUGGGGCAAAUGGAUAUUAUGUGCUUCGUGAUACACUGCACCGAGAAAGACACAUCAUUUCCAUGAUAUUCCUGACCAAAACCCUAAAUUUAAUCAUAAGAAAGCAAUCAAUAAACAUAAACUGUGGGACAUUCUACAAAUUAAAUGGACUAUGCUCUUCAACAAUGUCAAAGACAAGAAAAAAAGAUGGAGGAACUGUCUCAGAUUAAAGGCAGCUAGAGAUAUAAUACUACUGUAAAGUGUGAUUAUUUUACUGUUAAAGGACAUCAGUGGGCAACAAAAUUAUCUAAGGUCUAUGAAUUAGAUAACAGUAUUGUAUCAAUACUAAUGUGUCAAUUUUGAUAUUCUGUUAUUAUGUAAGAGAAUGUCCUUGUUUUUAGAAAAUAGGCACUGAAGUAUUUAGGGACAAAGGGGCAUCUUGUGUAAAACUUGCUCUCAAAACAUAAAAACAAUAUACACCCACACAAAUACACUGCAAUCAAGAAUAUGGUAAAAUUUAGGGCUUCCCUGGUGGCGCAGUGGUUGAGAGUCCGCCUGCCGCUGCAGGGGACGUGGGUUUGUGUCCCGGUCCGGGAAGAUCCCACAUGCUGCAGAGCGGCUGGGCCCGUGAGCCAUGGCCGCUGAGCCUGCGCGUCCAGAGCCUGUGCUCUGCAACGGGAGAGGCCACAACAGUGAGAGGCCCGCGUACCGCAAAAAAAAAAAAAAAAAAAAAAAAAAAAAGAAUAUGGUAAAA